rnacentral:rRNA from 1 species
GAUGAACGCUGGCGGCGUGCCUAAUACAUGCAAGUCGAGCGAACGGACGAGAAGCUUGCUUCUCUGAUGUUAGCGGCGGACGGGUGAGUAACACGUGGAUAACCUACCUAUAAGACUGGGAUAACUUCGGGAAACCGGAGCUAAUACCGGAUAAUAUUUUGAACCGCAUGGUUCAAAAGUGAAAGACGGUCUUGCUGUCACUUAUAGAUGGAUCCGCGCUGCAUUAGCUAGUUGGUAAGGUAACGGCUUACCAAGGCAACGAUGCAUAGCCGACCUGAGAGGGUGAUCGGCCACACUGGAACUGAGACACGGUCCAGACUCCUACGGGAGGCAGCAGUAGGGAAUCUUCCGCAGUGGGCGAAAGCCUGACGGAGCAACGCCGCGUGAGUGAUGAAGGUCUUCGGAUCGUAAAACUCUGUUAUUAGGGAAGAACUUAUGUGUAAGUAACUGUGCACAUCUUGACGGUACCUAAUCAGAAAGCCACGGCUAACUACGU